GCCUCUUGAUCACACGUUGCAGUAUCUCUAUAAAUACCAAACCGCCGUCUAUAUGCAACUUACAUGAAAACAAUUGCCUUCUCUUUUGUAUUGCCCCAUUGCUCAUUGUUUACUCCAUCACGCCCGCCACCAUGCACGGGCAUCCGGGAGAGCAGCUAUAUGCAACAGUUGCCUUUAACAUCCUGCACCUAGCCAGAGAGGGCGGAUAAGAUUUGGAAGUGCUCCGCACGACUGCUCAUUGUUCAUCCACUGUGGCUCAUUUUCCUAUGUUCCAUCGAUGUGUGUUGUCAUCAAUAUUUUGUACCGCACGUCGUAUGGGCAGUGAGUGCCGCGCCUCGUCUAGAACAAAAUCGUCGGGUUUCGGCAGUGGAUUGGGGAAAUGGAGCGGUGGACGGGGUGCUCACGAUGGCUGCGGUGGCGGGAAAAGCGACGGCGCAGUGCGGGGUGGACGGGAGCGACGAUGGUGCACGGCUGAAUGCGAUGGGAGGCGGUGGAGAGAGGGAGCACGGUGGAGAGGUGCUUUAGGUGGUAUUUUGGGGAAACGGAGGGGAUGCCGAGGUAGAGCUUGGCACGGCGUUGCCGACGGCGCAAGUGGCGUGGCGCGACGGUGACUAGGGCGGCGGCGAGGUGCGGCUAGAGAGCUCCGGCGGGCGGCUGCGCAUGGCUCGGCGUGGGGAGAGCGAUAGGGGGCGCGGCGAGCCCGGGGAUUUGGGGAAAAUGGGAGAGGGGGCCCCGGGGAUGCUUUUUAUAGGUCCGGGAGGUGGAAAUCGGGACCGAGAAAGGCGGGAACCGACCGGCGAUGUGGGGCGCCGACGUGGGAAGGUUGGCGGCGGUUCGGCGCUGAUUUUGCGGGGAGGAGUGGGGGAAAUGGGGGAGGAGGAGGUGGGGAUCGAGUCCACGUGCUCGCGAGGUGAGGUGGAGCGCGGGAAGCGCGGCAUCGUGGGGCGAAACCGGCAGCCAUGGCGGUUGCAGCCGGCCGGAUGGAGGUAAGGGGAGAAGCUGACGAGUGGGCCCGCGGUCCCACUUGUCGGCGAGAGAAGGGGGAGGAGGCCGAUGGAGGGAUGCAAAGAGGACUUGCGGGAGAGGGAGGGGGAGGAGCUGGGCCGGCCCAAAAGAAGGGAGAACUUGGGCCGAAAGGAGGCCCGAAAGGAAAGAGGGGGAUUUUAAUUGUUUUUCUUUUUAUUUAAUUGGUUAAAUGAACUUUGUGCUAUUAAAAUUAUUUCUUAGAAAAUUUACAGAAAAAUCCGGAGAGUAUAUUUAGGCACAGAGAAUAUUUCAAAAUAUUUCCGGCCAAUGAUUUUUAAAGAAAAUUUUAAUUUCCUUUAUAAUUUCCCUUGAUUAAAUUACUUUAAAUUUUAAUAUAAUUCCUAGAAAAUGCAUUACUAAUUGAUUUUUAAUCCCCAACGAAAAUCGGGGCGUUACACUCAACCUCCUGCUGCAGGAUCAGAAGGUUUUAACGAGGUACGCCGGCCAUCACCCAUCGGGUUGGCUGCAUAGGCUGACACGCAGCCUCGGCCGCUGCCGAUGGAGAGGAUCUCGGUCACAGGACAGGAUCGGUGAUGUUGUCGAGGGCUUGCAGUUGCAAUAGCCUGGCUGACUUCAAUGUCAACGCCAGCACGACCUUAUCGAUGAGCUCUACAAACUUGGCCUAUAAGCCUGAUCUGCCUGGGAAGACAACGAGGUGAUGGAAAACAACACCGCCUGCCAGAUGCAGUAUGUUAGCAGCGUGUAUUUGUUUGACGAAUUGAGUUUGCAGCGCAUAUGUGAAGGAUGGUUAUUGUAAUGUGUGAAGGCUAGGGAUCAUGGUCACUUCUGUACAUGCCACAACACGUUCUCUUCAAAAGGAAGAAUGUCAUCACAAACAACAAUGUGGGCAUGAUCUACUGUCAAUAUCAUUUUCAUGGGAACACAUUGGGCAAGGACUUGGUCUUUGCUUCUUAAGGGAACCGAUGAAGAAAUAGUUAAGAACUAUUGCAAAGUGUUGGAGAAGCAUGUGGUGGAAUUCUUCUCCGUGUAUGGCUGGAACCUUAGAAGAAGAUUGGAAGCCUAGUCUUUUCUUCGUUUGUUGUUCUUAAAACCUUUGUUUGUGCUGUCAUCUCUUAUGUAAUGGGAGAGGUCAGUUGAUGCAUUUUGUACCCUUUUAUUAGGGAGAGUCUUAUGUACUCGUGUUCGGAUUUUGGCUGUGUAUACCCCACAAAGGUGUAGAGGCCGGGUUUGAUAAUCCUUUAUCUAAAAAAUGCAAGCUCAUGUGGUUAAUUCA